rnacentral:rRNA from 2 species
UUCUGCUUCAUCCUAAGUCCAUUAAUGAGUACGGCCAAUAAAUUGGCCCAAAGAGGGUGAAAGGCCCGUGUGGAUGGAGAUCAAGUGUGACAGAAUUGGUUUGAGCUAAUUUUGGAGUCGGGUUGUUUGUGAAUGCAGCCCAAAGUGGGUGGUAGACUCCAUCCAAGGCUAAAUACUGGCACGAAUCCGAUAGCAAACAAGUACCGUGAGGGAAAGUUGAAAAGUACUUUGAAGAGAGAGUAAAUAGUGCGUGAAACCGCUCAGAGGUAAACGGGUGGAGUUGAACUGGAAUCCGCGAGAAUUUAAUUGAUGAGUAUGGCAUGUGCUUGAGCAUGUUGACCAGCGCCAAAGGUUUACUUAGUUGUAGGCCUUGACUCUUCGGGGUUUAGGUACACGUUGCACUUAUCAGGUGUUGUGUGCCUUGGUUGCAUUGGGCUUGCUUGUCAAUGCAUUUUCUCGGGGUAAUCACCACGACCGACGUAGUUGUCUGUUUGCUGCAGUUAARCCUAUCAAAUUUGGUCAUUUGACUGGUUUUGAUAGGGAUGGCAGGUAACUUGUGUGCUCAUUCGAGUUGCAAGUAUUAUUAGCUGACUGUCGUAAAUCUGUGCAAUGUGUCGGAAAUGACGGCUUUGAUCACACUGUCUAGCAAA